CUGAUAUUUGGGUGUAUAUCUCUGAUAUUUGGGUGUAUUUUUUAUCUAUUGACAGUAUCUCUUUUUCAUUGCAGUAAAAAUGGCAACCAAGAACCAAGGUGGAAAAAAAAUACAAUACUUGAAGUGUGCCACCAGAUUAUUGAGUGAAGAAUUUGAAAAUAUGAGCAAGGCAAAGAAAGCAAUUGUUCGGGAAUUAGGUUUUGGUAGACUCGUAUACAUCCCGCCAAUGAGGGUGCAUCACAAACUAUUAAAGGAGUUGGCUAACUCCUUUAAAUUGGGCAAAAACACACUCAAAAUAAGCUAUGGUUCCUUUAAAGUUAAACCCAGCACAAUAGGGGCUGCCCUUGGCCUCAAUGCAUCAGGAGAUCUAUUUCCUGAUAAAGUGAGUUAUAAGAAACUUUCUGAGGAGAACAAACUAAUUUUUAGAAGGUUCCAGGGGAAGACUCUAAAGAAUCUGACCGAUGAGAUGAUGAGUAUUGGUGUUGAAAACGAACAAGAUCGCCUGAUGUUCAAGAGGAUUUUCAUCCUUUAUAUUCAGAUGGCGUUCUUGUUGCCAACAACAAUAAACAAAAUCUCUCAUGUGCACCUAGCUCCAAUUUUUAAGAUGGACAAAAUAACGGAGGACAACUGGGGAGCCCAUGUGCUGAAUUUCAUCAUCAAAGGCAUAACUAAUUACCGUCUGAAAAAGAAAAAAUCAAUCGACGACUGCCUCUUUGCCUUGAUGAUAAUCUAUUUCCAUCUGACAAAAAACAAAGACAAGAAAGGAGAAGAAAAUCCUGGACUGCCCUGGGUUAGCAACUAGAAUAGAGAGCAGUUGGUUGUAAGAAUGAGAGCAGAAAUAGAUGGACAUAUGGACAUCGUAAAGAAGGCAUAAACAAAAAAGAAAUUGAAACAAAUGAAGAAAAAGAAAAGAAAGUAAAAAACAAAAAAACAAAAAAAAAAACAAGGCAAGUUCAUCAUCAUCUGAGAGUGAUACAUCUGAAACUGAAGUUGAUUCUUCCUCGGAGUCUGAGUCUGAAGAAGACUCAGAGGAAUCAAAAAGGAAACAACCCACCAGAACGGCCAAAAAAAUGAAAUCCAAAAAAAGGAAGCAGAUUCUGGAGGAUUCCAAUUCAUAAAAUGAAUUGAAUGAUGAAAGUGAAGAAUCAUCACCAAUAAAAAAACAAAAAACAAAGAAAAAAAUUCAGACUUCACCCAAAAAGUCACAAUCCAAAAAGAGAAAGCACAUUGUUAAGGAUUCGUCUCCUGAACAAACUCAAUCCUAUGAUGGAUCUGAACUUGGAACUGAAGUAUUACAAGAAUUCUUAAGGGAAUCAAAAAAGAAGAAAACCAAUGAAAAACUGCUGCACAGGAGUUUGUUAUAUUUUGGUGUAUAUUACCGAUUUUAAGGUGUUUUAGUUGCUGAUAAUUGUUUUUGGUUUUCCAGGAAGAAGGGAGCUCCGCUGCGAUCGACAAAAGGUCACUAUGACUCAUUCGAAAUAAUGCUGGAGGUGAACUUAGGAAGUGAGAAUGAUCCUUUGUCUCAAGGACAAACGGAUCAAAGUAGCAUAAACAAACCAGCGGAUAGCAUGUGUAUUUUGAAUUUAUUUGGGUGUAUUUCAAGUUGAGUCUGGUAGAAGAAUCAGCCAAUGACCCAGCUCAACAGAACAUGAUGGUUGUGCGGAUGGAGACACAUUCACAACUUGAAGCGCUUUCAAUACUUUCGAUUCAAGUUUAUGUCCCUCUGUCCCAGACAACCCCUAUGCCAGCAAUUGAACCAUCCCCUGCAAAGUCUCCGAGAGAGAAAAUUAGUGAAGAAAGAACAAAAAGCACUCCACAACCCCCGAAACCUGAUGAAAGCACACCCACGGUUCCACCAGCUCCAUCUAAAAUAUAAGUUCAGCACAAUAAAAUUUGGUUUUCAAUACCAUUUGUCUAUUCUUAUUCUUAUAGUACGUUAUAUGUCAACAUGCAGUAAUCCAGCCCCAGAAGACGCUGCUGCACUGAUAAUAAUGGUCCGGACAACAUCCUACAUACCUAAAGAAGGUCCGAUGCCAUCAUUCAGCCUUGGCUUGACUGAUUCAACUCAAGAAGAAGCACUGACGCAAGAGGGGUAGAAGGCAAAAAGUCCUGAAAUACCAAAACUAAUCGAACAAUUAGAAGAACUGGUGGAAAAAAUUGCAAAUAGUGGGGUGAAGAUAGCAUUGGAUUAUGCAGAGGGUAAAAGUCCAUCGAUUGAAAAGCAGUGUGCCGAAGAAAUUUUUGAAAAGUUUGAAACUCCUGUGAAGAGCAAGGAGAUAUCGGCUUAAAUGAAAGAGAAAUGCUACGUUUGGGCCACACGUGUGAAGACAUAUAGAGAUGGAAGCACUAAUGAGAUGACCCGGUGUGCACCCUCAAAGCCCAAGAUCGAUUCAUUUUGUCAAAAGUCCACUUUGCAUCUCUGAAAGCUGCUACACAUAAAGAAGCUGAGAUUGUCACUGCCAUGUGCCUAAUCCUGAACCAACAAAACAUUAAAAGAUUUCAAGAAGAAAUAUACUGUCUCCCCCCUGAUAUUGUGAACAUGGCCAUUGGAAAUCAUCCAGAUGGAGAAUUCUUACAGCCUAAAACCAAAAAGCCAUUUAAGGUCGAAGACUACCCAAUGUUUAUACCCUUUUUGGACCUCAAAAAAUUAGCAUCACAUCGAUAUAGCAUUGGUGAAUAUGGGUGGCUGACGUAAGAAAGAAAAAAUUUUAUAUACUUGACCCGUAUCAUAAGGAGUGUCCCUCCAAAGCCAGAAUGAAGCUAAAUACAUUUGUUGGAUAUGUAAUUUCGAGAAUGAGGGUAUAUGCUGGGGGAACCUCUCAGGAAAAAGGAUCAUGAAAUUGAACCACCAUACAUUAACAUCUCUGGCCAAAAAAUAAGUUAUGAUUGUGCUAUUUAUGUAAUGAAAUGGCUUGAAAUAAUUCAACUUGAAAACAUUAAAAGAGGGAAGUAUGAGUGGGUCAAUUGGACUCAGGAGGAGGUGGACCACUUUAGAGUAGAAUUUGCUUCCCGGAUUCUAUUUCAUAAAAUGAAUCAAGACAGAGCUGAAGCCAUUAGGGGAAGUGAAGCAGUAAGAUUGUCCAAGCUAUCGUCACUGUUGUUGAGUCCAUAUUGUCAGAUAGAUUCAUAUGAUAUUGACAGUGAUUAAUCUAAGUGUUGUGUAUUUUUGGAAUAGUUUAAACACUUGUUGUAAAAUUUUGCGAAUAUAAUCCAAUUUUAUUAUAAAUUUUUUUCCAUAAUUAAACUGUCUCUUCUGUAUUCAAAAGCUCUAAAUUACAGGUUCUAAAAAAAUGAAGGAAAACAACACCAAACCUACUAUACAUCCAAAAAAUUGAAUUUUACAUCCAAAUAAUUUUAAUAUACAC